UCUUUCUGAGAUGAAUCUGCUUCUCUGCUUUUCUGCACUGUCUCCAGGCAUCAGAAGAAAAGAUGAAAGUAGCCAUCAUAGCUGUGUGCCUCCUUGGCCUCCUUUGCCUCUCCUUUGCAGCUCCUCAUGGUGUCGAGCUUGCCCGAGAUGAGCUUGCCCGAGAGAAGCGCUCAUCCACUGGAGAGGACCAGAACCAGUGGCAUUUUCUCCCGGAAGUCAAGGAAAGCGAGGCUUCCCCCAUCUUGCCCCACAAACAAUAUAAUUGUAAAUAAAACAUUUGAUUUAAUCGUUUUACAGUUACAUUUAUUCUUGCUGUGCUGUUAUCUGCCGUUUUCAUUUCAUAUUUUGCAAUGAGUGACACAGAGCCUCCAUAAUUUGUAUUUAGUGAAUGUGGUGAAACUCAGUAAUUACACUCCCGUUGUCUCCAAGUGGCACUCAGCCCGAGUUGGAACAACCUCUCACCCAACAGCAGGGCUAACUCUGAAUUUCUAU